CCGUUUGCAUCGCGGGACACACCGUCCUAUAUUCAGAGCUGCCGGUUCGCCGGCUAUGACGCUAAACCCUGUUUGGAAUAAGCGUAGUGGACCCGGGGGCAGUACCCGGCGCCUCCACCAUUCUGGUGGGACGGGAUUCGGAACCGGCCCCGAAUCCCGCCGAUCUGGGGGCGAAACAGGAUCGACACGCGUGGUAAAGAAGCAGGUUGCGUUCGGCAUGGCACCACCGUUAUCGGGCCAAACGCAAUAGUUGCCAACGACAACUAUGCUCCGGAAGCUGUCGCCGCGUAAUGCGGUGCCGGUAACCGAUUUAAGCCCCGGGCGGUAGCACGUUCGGGCGGGGUCCGGGGGGCACCUGGCAACAGAAGCCCCCCAUU
rnacentral:tmRNA from 1 species